rnacentral:lncRNA from 1 species
CGAUCAUUGGAGUUUUAGAUUAUUGUUGGAUUUGUUAGGGUGUUAGAAUGAAAUUUAUAAACAUGAUCAUGUUUUGGAAUAAUGUUUUCAAUUUGGUAUGAUUAACCCUAACAAAUCCAACAAUAAUUUAAAACACCAAUGAGCGCCUAGAUCAUCCUCCUCUCCUCGCCAUGAUUCCAUGGAUCACACUUUGCUUUUAUCUGCAUCAAAGAAAGAGAUGCAUAAGUAUUUCAUAAAUACUUAGUGAGGGCGAUCAUCCCAUCUGCGAGCUAUACACACAAGCAAUGAGAUAACACCCACAUAUAUAACAAAAACAAACCAUCCAGCAAACUAAACAUCAAAUAACACAUCCAAUUCACCUACAAAUCAUCACAAAACAAGUCACUCGAUCCCAAUCGCUUAGAUAAGCUCAUGGUCACGCACUCACCUUAACAAGGUGAUUUGAAUAACAAAAACAAUCAGGAAAAACUCUCCUCGCGACUGCAACAGCCAAACAAUGCCCUACAACAAACCACAUAAACAAAAAUUUCUAAGAACCAAAAGGACAAAAACAGCAGAAAAACUAUAGCCGCAGAAAUGAUGCCCUAAAACAUAAACCAACCGUUAACUUCUUCAUCCCUUCGGUGGAAAGCAAGACCCAGACGUCACCAAUAUUCCCACAAAAUUUGGUGCCGAUCAGAAAAACGAUGAUACCAGGAUAGCACUUACAAACUCCGCUGAUCUCAGUUCGCAACAGAGAAAAAGC